AUGUCAACCUCUGGAUCGUGUCCAGGGUGUCCCAGGAGAGAGCCAGGGCCAUUAGGAGCAGCACGGCCCUGCUCAGAUAUGCAGUCACCCUCCCUGAGUUUGACAUCUCAGCAGAGUUCCCUAGGAUGGGUCACCACGUGGCACAGCUGGCUCUGUUUGUCAGUGACCCAGACAAGGACAUCAGCCGGCAGGCCAGGGAGGGGACUUACCGGCUCUACCAGCUGCUGCUCCAACAGAGGGGGCUGACCAUACAUGAAGCAGAAGAUCUGUGGUUCCACGACUGGCACCAGGACAGCAGGCUCCUGGGCUAUAAGAACACAGCCAGGGUGGGGGAGGUAAGGACACUGUGGCAGGGUAUGACACAGCUCAGGGAGUGGGGCUGGCUGGGGUCCCUGCAGUGGAUGCUUCCUGGAGACAGGACAAGAGCCCACUCCUUAUUUCCAGCUCAGAGUUCCUCACCCAGCACCCAGUGGGACAGGCUGGUGCUAAAGGUCCCACACUGGAACCUCGCUAGUUGCCGUGAUUUGAGUGUCUUACAUGGAGCCAUUGCUAUGUGGCAUAAGCAGAAUCCCCAGGUGGGUGAGCUAAGAUAGGAUUAUGGCUCUGGGUGUCUCUCUGCUCCUUGUCCCCCUGGCUGAUCCCCAAGUGUGUGAGAGGAGAGCACUGGGUCAGUCAGUCACUAUUGCUUGAUGAGACCCUUGUUUAAUUCCCUGCACCCUGGAGAAGCAGAGAAAA